AUGCAAGUCGAACGCAGUAGCAAUACUGAGUGGCAGACGGGUGAGUAUAAUGUGGGUAUCUACCUUUUGGUUUGGAAUAACUUGGGGAAACUCGAGCUAAUACCGGAUAAGCCCUUACGGGGAAAGCUUUAUGCGCCGAGAGAUGAGCCCGCACUUGAUUAGCUUGUUGGUGAGGUAAAGGCUCACCAAGGCAACGAUCAAUAGCUGUUCUUAGAGGAAGACCAGCCACAUUGGGACUGAGACACGGCCCAGACUCCUACGGGAGGCAGCAGUAGGGAAUCUUGCACAAUGGGGGAAACCCUGAUGCAGCGAUGCCGCGUGAGUGAAGAAGGCCUUUGGGUUGUAAAACUCUUUCGUCGGGGAAGAAAAUGACGGUACCCGAAUAAGAAGGUCCGGCUAACUUCGUGCCAGCAGCCGCGGUAAUACGAAGGGAUCUAGCGUAGUUCGGAAUUACUGGGCUUAAAGAGCUCGUAGGUGGUUAAAAAAGUUGAUGGUGAAAUCCCAAGGCUUAACCUUGGAACUGCCCUCAAAACUUUUUAGCUAGAGUAUGAUAGAGGAAAGUGGAAUUUCUAGUGUAGAGGUGAAAUUCGUAGAUAUUAGAAAGAACACCAAAUGCGAAGGCAACUUUCUGGAUCAUUACUGACACUGAGGAGCGAAAGCAUGGGUAGCGAAGAGGAUUAGAUACCCUCGUAGUCCAUGCUGUAAACGAUGUGUGCUAGACGUUGGAAACAUAGUUUUCAGUGUCGCAGCGAAAGCAUUAAGCACACCGCCUGGGGAGUACGACCGCAAGGUUAAAACUCAAAUGAAUUGACGGGGACCCGCACAAGCAGUGGAGCAUGUGGUUUAAUUCGAAGAUACGCGCAGAACCUUACCAACACUUGACAUGUUCGUCGCGACUCUAGAGAUUAGAGUUUUC
rnacentral:rRNA from 1 species